rnacentral:snoRNA from 1 species
AAUCCAUGGUGAGGGCACCUUCUCAAUAGAUCUUUGUAUCUCUCCCAUGCAACAUACAGUGUUUCUAAAUCCAUCUACACAAAAGAAGAGAUAUCAUUUCGUAAUU